UACGUAGGGGGCGAGCGUUGUCCGGAUUUAUUGGGCGUAAAGAGCGUGUAGGCGGCUAGGUAGGUCCGUUGUGAAAACUCGAGGCUCAACCUCGAGACGCCGGUGGAAACCAUCUAGCUAGAGUCCGGAAGAGGAGAGUGGAAUUCCUGGUGUAGCGGUGAAAUGCGCAGAUAUCAGGAAGAACACCCGUGGCGAAGGCGGCUCUCUGGGACGUGACUGACGCUGAGACGCGAAAGCGUGGGGAGCGAACAGG
rnacentral:rRNA from 1 species